CCUAGAACAAGUGUCAUGCACACACGGCAGCAGUGGAAGAACCAAAGUAUGAGCAGCAGAGGGGUUUUCCUCGAGGGCGUGAAAUCAGUGCCACUAUACGUUAAAAACACUAACAGUUGCAUUCUGAUUUAGCUUGCUGUUGGUUGUCUUGUUCAGGCUCUCAAAUUUCCUUUGAGGUGAAUUCUCACGUUGGCUGUCUUCGUGUACACCGGUUUUCAUCCAGCUUGGACAGUAAUUGUUACCGAGGCCCUCCGGUGUCACUGAGAUUUGUUCUCUACAAACCUGAUGAACAGCUUGAGCAUUUCAUUUGCAUACAAAGCAUUUCAUUGCAAUAUACCACUAUUUGUACCUUCGUGCAGGUAAACAGCAAAUUUUGGCAUGAUCCAGUCGGACCAGUAUAGCAUCAAGAGCUAGACUAGCAAAACAUGUAAGCAAAAUCUACAAAGUUAAAUAUAAACAAACUGGGAUCUAGAAAUUGUGGCUCUUUCAAGUCUGAAGUGUUUAUGUGAUCCCAGGCAAACACUCCACACAACCAGUUGUUUCACCCAGCUCAGGAAUGCAUCGCUCUUCCCACAGCCUGCUCUGGUGAUUUUGCCAUUACGACUCAAAAUCAGAUGGAGAUGGUAAGAAAGCAAAGUCAUCCCUUAAGCAUCUAAUAAGGAUUCGUCACCACUAUAACAUGCAGCAGUCAGCUAUCCCAAAAUGCAGUCUCCAAGAGUCUAAGGCAGUCUUCAGCUGUUUACAUAUCAAGACUGGAAAGUUUUGCACAGGUGUACAGACACAUGAAUGCCAUGACAAAGAGUUUAGAAACCUGAAUGUAAGAAGCAGAAAAAACAGGUUGUGGGAAAGAAAAAGCAUCUGAACUCAAAUAGAUUUGCACAAAUCAGAAUGCCUUCAUUUUACACUGGGAGGACCUGUUUUUUUUCCAGGCAUUAUCCAAGUGGGCUGAAUGCAUCAGUACCACAUUUAGAGGUGGAGCUGGAAACUGAGCAAGUGUGGCUGUGGGAAAAACAGGUGAAUGACUUCACAGCAUCAGUGGAAAUACUGUCUGCCAGAGGUGGCUGGAGAUCUCUAAUCCACACUGCAGCUCAAAGCAGGACUACUCCCAGAGCCGGAUGGGGACAGCUGAGGCUUUGUCCCAUUGUGUGUGAGCAUCCUCCUGGAGCUAGGGUGUCAUAAGCUCUCUAAAAGCCUUUUCCAUUCUGCACUGGCUGCUUGUGAGACCUCCGAGUGGCCAUUUGCUAUGGUCAGCACACCAGCUGGACAAGGGAAGGCUGUACGAGAUGCAGGCAAAUUGAUGAGGAGAAGGAAGCCUUCAGCUGCAGAAUUACAGACUCACAGAUUUGGAAUUGUUUGGGAUGGAAAAGACCUUUAACAUCAUCAAGCUCAGCCGUGAAACUAAUACUGUGAGGGCCACCACUAAGACACAUCCCUAAGUGGCACAUCUACAAAUCUGUUAAAUACCUCCAGAGAUGGUUAAAUACCAUUUCCCUGGGCAACCUUUUCCAAUGCUUAACAACUCUUGCAGUGAAAAAAAUUUUCCUAAUAUCCGGUCUAAACCUCCCCUGGCACAACCUGGGACUAUUUCCUCUUGUCCUGCCACCUGUUACUUGUGAGGAGAUAAUAACCCUCACAUGGCUUUCAGGUGGUUGUAGAGAGCAAUAAGAUCCUUCCUGAGCCUCCUUUUGUCCAGGCUAACCCUCCCAGCUCUCUCAGCAGCUCCUCACAAGACUUGUGGUUCAGACCUAUCACCACCUUCUUUGCCCAUGUCUGGAAGUGCUCCAGCUCCACAAUCACCUCAAUGUCUUCCUUGCAAUGAAGGCCCCCAGACUGAAAAGGAUUCAAGGUGCAGCUGCACCAGUGCCAAGUACUGGAGGGCAGUCACUGCCCUGCUCCUGCUGGCCACACUCUUUCUGCUGUAACUCCUCGCUGCCAGCCCCACCUGACCUGUGAUGUUACAGCUGUGAUUCAUUGUCCUUGCAGAUGUGCCUAGAGCUAAUUACUGCCUUCACCCUCCUCCUUAUCCUCAUGCAAGAACUGCCCAGCUCCACUCUCCUGGUGGUUGAGGGUGCAGCCCACAUCACUGACAUCUCCAGGCCUGCCAGGCAGCUGCACUUGACCUGCACAGUCUGGGUCUCAGAGUCAGGCUGGGUUUAAGAUGUAAAUGAUUAACAUUGUGAACACAGGGAAGUGAAAACUUCCGCUUAGAGAGAGGAGAAAGGCAUUAAACCAUUCUUACCUGGGAAAACACCUGCUCUGUGUAGCCCUAUACAAUAGCAGAGCUUGGUGUGGUCAAGCAGCAGCACAGGCUGGGGCUGCCAGUUCUUCCUGUGCCAAUGGAGGCAAAACCAUCAGCAGAGCAGGCUGCCCUUCUCCUGCCAGCAAGUGAGGCAGGACUUCAGCCUGGGAUUGAGCCCAUCUGCCAGAUCUGAUCACUCCAGUUUCUAGCCCAGCACAUCAAUAUAGGCUGCAUCGACCUCAUCUUACAUUAACACCAUGGGGUGCUGUGGAUGAAAACCCUGAUCCAGUUUCACUUAGCAGGUGUGCAGGGAGGCAGCAGCCAUGUCACCUGUGUUUGUCUGUACGAGACUUUCAGAUGGCUCUCCAGCACCUUUCCCAAAUCAGCUUUGUGGUUAGCAGAAUCCCUCCUAUGUAGAACCAUUGCAGAACAGUAGAUGCAGAACCAAGUGUUCCAAAGUAGAAAGCCCAUAUCUGAAACACCAAGGAGGUCCAGCCCAGAGAAAAGGCUCAUUAGCUCUCUCAGAUGAGUAGGUUUCUACCUUGGAAAAUGAAGCCAUUGAACAAAGCAGAAGUCAUAACAGCAACUGUGAAGUGAUAACAGUUUGCAGUUAGUGCUCAGCCAGUGGGAACUAAUUCACUCAUUCACAAAGCUACAAAGCUGCCGUCAGACGCAUUUGUUUGGUCGCUAUCAAAUGGAUUGUGAUUAGACCCACUGACAAAGGUGAAUGGUUUGAUAGUCAUUAUUUAAUCCUCUGCUAUCAAUUCAGCAAGAGAGCCACUAAAUCACACAGUCCAUUUUUGUGAGGUUAUCCUGAAUUUAUAGUCAAUGCCACAACAUUUGAAAACGCGUGUUGCUAGUUGUUACAGCACAGUCCAUGCCCGUGUGUGUACCUAACCUGAAUGGCCUCUCUGCCAAAGGUGUGUAUAAAAUUAUCGUGUAUGUACCUGUAUAUACACGUGUAUGGAAUUAAUAAAUAUGGGGGUAAACAGAAGAGUGUUGUUGGUGGAACACGAGCAUGUGAAUGCCUGGUUUACUCAGCACAGUUUCUGCGAGUCAUACACAUCUGUGCACAAGGAGCUGCUGCCUCCUGCUCCUCUUAUGUAACUUCAUAAAGACUCAUAACAUUGCCAUGGUAUCUGCAAAGAGAGGCUCAGCUAGUCAGUGGGUGCCCUGUUACCAGGUGAUACUUGUCAAGAGCUCAUCUUCCCAUUCAGGUGUGUGCUGAGAAUUAAAACACAAAUACUGACACACCUACAGAAUGUUAUCAGUAUCAUUCACUCAAUGUGCAGCACCUCAGUUUGAAAAGUCUGGAUAUUAGUUUGGCUUUGGCUUUUAGGGCAUACAUGAUCAUAUCUCUUGUGAACUGCUACACUCAUGUAUCUUCAUGUAAAGGAAGAAAAUUUUGGGGAGAGAUGAAGUAUGCUUUUGCUCCAGUAUUGGAGGAACCUAAGAAAACAUGCUGCAGUUGUAUCCUAAAGGUGGAAGAGACAAUCAAACAAACAAACAAACAAGCAAAGCAGUGUUUAUUGCUCUGAGACAUCUCUUCAUUUCUGAGCUGAUUUCAAUUAUUUUUGAACAGCUGCAGGCACAGGGAUGCUCUGCCUUUCCUGAACAGCCGAACAGAUGAUAUAUCAGUUUUAAAUCAGCUCCCAGCUGACAGGGAAAGGAUUGCAAUCUGCUAAAUAGUGUCGUUGCUGCAGACAAGUAGACGUCAUUUCUGAAGGAAAAAUAUUGGGAACGCUGCUGCUUCCUGAGCCAAAGGAGACAGGGCUGCAGCCGUGGGUCACAUCUGGGAGCACCGUGUCGUGUGUGCAGACCUAACCCACAACAGCAGCCGUGAGUGACAACUACAGCCACUGCCACCUCUCACCUCAUGCCUUUUAUGUGCUGUAAAAGCCACAGCUUCAUUCCUGCCCUGGUCCUCAAUUUCUGCCAGCGCUUCCUUCUCGGCAAGCUGGAGCAGUAGCACACAAUGCACAAUACAACACCUCUCGCCCUGCUUCUUCCCACAGAGCAGCCGCUGAGCGCUGGUCAGGAGCCAUCAGCACCCAGCUCGAACAAUGUAAAUUCUAUGGGAGCUCAUUGUUUUUGUAAAGAUCGCAUGCAAUCUGUUGCCAAGCAGCCUACACAAAUAUUUAAAGCCUGCCUCUUUCUUCACACAGUUUAAAAAAACCAAACCAAAACAAAAAUAACAAGAGCUUUUACUUUGUAAAGGCUGAGGUGGAAUUAACCUCUUCCUGCACAAGUACCAGGCACCGGCAUGAUGAAAUUAUUGACAUGUCCAUGCAUUCCAUGGGGAUGAUGCUGGAGAGGACUUGACUUGGAGGCUGGCUUUGUAUUUAUAUAUGUAUUGUUAUAUAUUUUGCCAGUACAAGAUAGGUCUUUCCAAUUCCCUCUUUUCUUGAGAGGUAACAUUUUUCUGGCUAACCCUAAUAUAACUACCCAAUUUCUAAGGAUCACCUCCUCAUCCCAAAUAUCUCCAGGGUCCAGGCCCACCUAGGAAGAAUAGUUACAUUUGAUCAUGUUUUCUCUCUCCAUUCCUGUUGUCAUUCAUAUCUAAGCACAUGCUCAGCUGCUUUGCUGAAAUCGUCAGACAGGAACAAAGUCCAUUCUGUAAAAUGCUAUAGGAGUGCCAGCUCUAGAUUUCUGUGUAGAACCUUGGAAGUAGACACAUACUUAAAAAUACUUGUUAUUAGUUUUACUCCUAUCACACUUCAGUCUCACCAGAAUGAGUUAUCAGGCUGGGUUUUCCUGGCUCUGGGAACAGUGUCCAGGCACGGAGCUGUCUAGUCAGGCAAGAAUUAUCACUGGUAUCACACUGGAUUGGCUUCAUGAAAAAACAGACCGAGUACAAAUGUAAGCAAUGGCUCGAAUCCCAGCAGCACUUUUCCAUAGGAACAGGCCUUCAUACAGUAUGUACCCUUGUGUGUGCAACUGCAAUACUCAGAAGGAGCCAUUUCCCAGCCAAAUGAAGCCUUUAUCAGUGGCUCCAGGGUCUGAUUGCCAAGGAGACAUCUAUGAUCUGUGAGGA